rnacentral:rRNA from 1 species
UACGUAGGGUGCAAGCGUUAAUCGGAAUUACUGGGCGUAAAGCGUGCGCAGGCGGUUUUGGAAGGCUGGCGUGAAAUCCCCGGGCUCAACCUGGGAAUUGCGAUGGAGACUGCAAGGCUGGAGUCUGGCAGAGGGGGGUAGAAUUCCACGCGUAGCAGUGAAAUGCGUAGAGAUGUGGAGGAACACCGAUGGCGAAGGCAGCCCCCUGGGUCAAGACUGACGCUCAUGCACGAAAGCGUGGGGAGCAAACAGG